rnacentral:rRNA from 1 species
GAGGGGGCAAGCGUUGUUCGGAAUUACUGGGCGUAAAGGGCGCGUAGGCGGCCUGUUAAGUCGAACGUGAAAUCCCCGGGCUCAACCCGGGAACUGCGUCCGAUACUGGCAGGCUUGAAUCCGGGAGAGGGAUGUGGAAUUCCAGGUGUAGCGGUGAAAUGCGUAGAUAUCUGGAGGAACACCGGUGGCGAAGGCGGCAUCCUGGACCAACACUGACACUGAGGAGCGAAAGCCAGGGGAGCAAACGGG